rnacentral:tRNA from 2 species
GGUCUCGUAGCUCAGUGGGAGAGCGUCCGCCUCACACGCGGAAGGUCGCUGGUUCGAUACCAGCCGGGACCACAA